rnacentral:lncRNA from 1 species
AACUACUUACCUGUAGAAUACGUAUAUAGUCCGGCAGUAUGCACAUAUAUUUGUCCACAACAAUUUACUUUUCAAUCAGAAAAAAAAUGCACAAAGUAUAUAUCAAGUGCACAUGUAUACAAUAAAGCACCGCACUAUAUCCAUUGUACUGAAUUGAAAAACCAUGCAAGUAGCGUAAAUCAGAAGAAAUUCUCCACGAUUCAGAAUAUUUCGAAACAUGUUAUAUGCUGUGUUUCUGGUUCUAAACUUAACCGUAAAAACAUGAACGGCAUUAAAUUGUCCACCUUUCAAUCGUGUCGAGUUCAUGCUGUCAAUUUAAUAUAUAAUAUUUACAUGAUAGUAUUCUCCUUUCAAACACGGACAUCAAAUUCUAAAUUAUUCAAUUACCAUGCGUUAAUUCCUACACUAUCAAACUAUCCAAAUUUAUUUACAAUGCGAUUUAAAAUACACAUUACUUUCACGAGGUUUAAUAGCGGAACAAUUAGUUUAAGG